UACGUAGGGUGCGAGCGUUGUCCGGAAUUAUUGGGCGUAAAGAGCUUGUAGGCGGUUUGUCGCGUCUGCCGUGAAAAUCCGGGGCUCAACCCCGGACUUGCGGUGGGUACGGGCAGACUAGAGUGUGGUAGGGGAGACUGGAAUUCCUGGUGUAGCGGUGAAAUGCGCAGAUAUCAGGAGGAACACCGAUGGCGAAGGCAGGUCUCUGGGCCACUACUGACGCUGAGCUGCGAAAGCUAGGGGAGCAAACAGG
rnacentral:rRNA from 1 species